rnacentral:rRNA from 1 species
UGGGGAAUUUUGGACAAUGGGGGAAACCCUGAUCCAGCCAUCCCGCGUGUGCGAUGAAGGCCUUCGGGUUGUAAAGCACUUUUGGCAGGAAAGAAACGUCGCGGGUUAAUACCCCGCGAAACUGACGGUACCUGCAGAAUAAGCACCGGCUAACUACGUGCCAGCAGCCGCGGUAAUACGUAGGGUGCAAGCGUUAAUCGGAAUUACUGGGCGUAAAGCGUGCGCAGGCGGUUCGGAAAGAAAGAUGUGAAAUCCCAGAGCUUAACUUUGGAACUGCAUUUUUAACUACCGGGCUAGAGUGUGUCAGAGGGAGGUGGAAUUCCGCGUGUAGCAGUGAAAUGCGUAGAUAUGCGGAGGAACACCGAUGGCGAAGGCAGCCUCCUGGGAUAACACUGACGCUCAUGCACGAAAGCGUGGGGAGCAAACAGGAUUAGAUACCCUGGUAGUCCACGCCCUAAACGAUGUCAACUAGCUGUUGGGGCCUUCGGGCCUUGGUAGCGCAGCUAACGCGUGAAGUUGACCGCCUGGGGAGUACCGGUCGGCAAGAUUAAAACUCAAA